rnacentral:rRNA from 1 species
UACGGAGGGGGCUAGCGUUGUUCGGAAUUACUGGGCGUAAAGCGCACGUAGGCGGCUUUGUAAGUUAGAGGUGAAAGCCCGGGCUCAACCCCGGAAUUGCCUUUAAGACUGCAUCGCUAGAAUUGUGGAGAGGUAAGUGGAAUUCCGAGUGUAGAGGUGAAAUUCGUAGAUAUUCGGAAGAACACCAGUGGCGAAGGCGACUUACUGGACACAUAUUGACGCUGAGGUGCGAAAGCGUGGGGAGCAAACAGG